UACGUAUGUGGCGAGCGUUAUUCGGAAUCACUGGGCGUAAAGAGUACGUAGGCUGGUAAAUAAGUCAGAGGUGAAAGUUUGGGGCUCAACCCCGAAUCUGCCUUUGAAACUGUUUACCUUGAAUAUGCGAGGGGAAGACGGAAUUUCUGGUGUAGCGGUGGAAUGCGUAGAUAUCAGAAAGAACACCGGUGGCGAAGGCGGUCUUCUGGCGCAAUAUUGACGCUGAGGUACGAAAGCGUGGGGAGCGAACAGG
rnacentral:rRNA from 1 species